UACAGCUUGUGAACAAUAUUAUGAAAAUAGUUUAUCGUAAGAAUUCCUCAAUAAUGCUAGAUAAAAACUUUUUUGCACAAACUUUUCUCAAAUCUGUCCUUUGUUGACAAAUUUGUUUUGAUUUUUUUUGUGAAAAUUGUCGACAAAAAAAUAUUUUCUUUGGUUAACAUCAAAAUCACGCGAAUUUAAGACCCAUUUCUGGACGAAACUCUAAGAAUAGAGGCGUCGAAAAGUUGCAAGAAUUCAAGAGAAGUGAAGAAUUAGUGGAGGAGAUGCGAAAGAGAUCAUCUAGGUAUCAAUGCAACAGGAGGCAGCGACAGCUGGGAUGGCGAUCAAUGAAUGAAAUGUGUAAAAUAAUUAAAAAAUAAAUAUUUUAUACCAUUGAAAAAAUAAGCUUGAUAUAAUAUUACUUUCGUAAGCUUAUUCUGCAAUUACAAGAAUAAGCUUAUGAAUAAGGGUUCCCUUUCGAUUAUUCUAUAAUUGUUAAACAAGCAUUUCUCAAUACAUUCUCAAGAUUUUCUCAA